AAAGAAGAAGGUGAGCAACAUUGG
rnacentral:miRNA from 1 species